rnacentral:rRNA from 1 species
AAAUGAAUAGACGGGGGCCCGCACAAGCAGUGGAGUAUGUGGUUUAAUUCGACGCAACGCGAAGAACCUUACCAGGGCUUGACAUCCCCUGACGGCUGUGGAGACGCAGCUUUCCCUUCGGGGACAGGGAGACAGGUGGUGCAUGGUUGUCGUCAGCUCGUGUCGUGAGAUGUUGGGUUAAGUCCCGCAACGAGCGCAACCCCUAUUGCCAGUUGCCAGCAUGCAAGAUGGGCACUCUGGCGAGACUGCCGUUGACAAAACGGAGGAAGGUGGGGACGACGUCAAAUCAUCAUGCCCCUUAUGUCCUGGGCUACACACGUACUACAAUGGCAGCAACAGAGGGCGGCGAGGCCGCGAGGCCAAGCGAAUCCCGAAAGGCUGUCUCAGUUCAGAUUGCAGGCUGCAACUCGCCUGCAUGAAGUCGGAAUUGCUAGUAAUGGCAGGUCAGCAUACUGCCGUGAAUACGUUCCCGGGCCUUGUACACACCGCCCGU